AUUGAACGCUAGCGGCAUGCCUUACACAUGCAAGUCGAACGGCAGCACGGGGGCAACUCUGGUGGCGAGUGGCGAACGGGUGAGUAAUGCAUCGGAACGUGCCCAUCGAUGGGGGAUAACUGCGCGAAAGCGUUGCUAAUACCGCAUACGACCUACGGGUGAAAGCAGGGGACCGCAAGGCCUUGCGUCGAUGGAGCGGCCGAUGUCGGAUUAGCUAGUUGGUGAGGUAAGAGCUCACCAAGGCGACGAUCCGUAGCUGGUCUGAGAGGACGACCAGCCACACUGGGACUGAGACACGGCCCAGACUCCUACGGGAGGCAGCAGUGGGGAAUCUUGGACAAUGGGCGAAAGCCUGAUCCAGCAAUGCCGCGUGUGGGAAGAAGGCCUUCGGGUUGUAAACCACUUUUGGCAGGAAAGAAAUCGUUUGCGCUAAUACCGCGAAUGGAUGACGGUACCUGCAGAAUAAGCACCGGCUAACUACGUG
rnacentral:rRNA from 1 species